rnacentral:rRNA from 1 species
UAGAUGCGAGAGUAGAGCAUAUCAAUAAGCGGAGGAAAAGAAACUAACAAGGAUUCCCUUAGUAACGGCGAGUGAAGCGGGAAGAGCUCAAAUUUGAAAUCUUCAAGGUUCUACCUUGACGAAUUGUAGUUUAAAGAAGUGUUUUCUGUUAGAUGAGUAGCAAAAGUUCCUUGGAAUGGGACAUCAUAGAGGGUGAGAAUCCCGUAUUUGGUUAUUCAUUCUAGCUUUGUGAUACACUUUCAAAGAGUCGGAUUGUUUGGGAAUGCAGUCCAAAAUGGGUGGUAAAUUUCAUCUAAAGCUAAAUAUUGGCGAGAGACCGAUAGCGAACAAGUACCGUGAGGGAAAGAUGAAAAGAACUUUGAAAAGAGAGUUAAACAGUACGUGAAAUUGUCAAAAGGGAAGCGUUUGACACCAGUGUUGUUUUUCCGAAAAUCAAUUACGAAUGGCUUGAUUUUGUGUUGUAUUGACCUUAUCAGCUUUCUGCACUUUUUUCGAGUCUUUCUUAAUGCACUUUUCGGUUAACAAGUCAACAUCAAUUUCUUUUGUUGUAAAAGAGUAUUCGGAAGGUGGCUUUCUUUUCGGAGAAAGUGUUUAUAGCCCUAUACUUCUACAAUCGGAGAGAUUGAGGUCUGCAGCGUAGAUCCUUCGGGGUUAGAUACACUUGUGCUAAGUUGUAGCUUUUCAUAGACAACUUGUUGACUAUGUUUAGUCGAUGCGGCUUACUCGCUUAUGCUAUUUUACCUACGCUUAGGAUGUUGAGCGCAUGUCUCUCUCU